GACGAACGCUGGCGGCGUGCCUAAUACAUGCAAGUAGAACGCACAGUUUAUACCGUAGCUUGCUACACCAUAAACUGUGAGUUGCGAACGGGUGAGUAACGCGUAGGUAACCUGCCUGGUAGCGGGGGAUAACUAUUGGAAACGAUAGCUAAUACCGCAUAAUAUUGAUUAUUGCAUGAUAAUUGAUUGAAAGAUGCUAUUGCAUCACUACCAGAUGGACCUGCGUUGUAUUAGCUAGUAGGUGCGGUAACGGCUCACCUAGGCGACGAUACAUAGCCGACCUGAGAGGGUGAUCGGCCACACUGGGACUGAGACACGGCCCAGACUCCUACGGGAGGCAGCAGUAGGGAAUCUUCGGCAAUGGACGAAAGUCUGACCGAGCAACGCCGCGUGAGUGAAGAAGGUUUUCGGAUCGUAAAGCUCUGUUGUAAGAGAAGAACGGGUGUGAGAGUGGAAAGUUCACACUGUGACGGUAUCUUACCAGAAAGGGACGGCUAACUACGUG
rnacentral:rRNA from 1 species